AAGCAGCCGCAGCAGGAGUAGCCGAAACUGUCGCAGUCACGCCCGCCUUCUUCGGCGCGUGCAAGCCCUCCAGCACCACCUUCACCUUGCCGUACACAUCGUCCGGAGCCGCCACAGCGCUGAUCACGUGGCACUUGCCCUGCGUAAGGUAGUGGUCCUUCACAGGCAGCGACUGAUCCAGGAAGGUGCGGAAGCGCUUGCGAAUGGUGUCGGCGUUGUCGUCGCUGCGGCCGCUGGUCUCCCCGCGCUUCAGCAGGCGCUUCUCCAUCUCCUCCUCCGGGCAGUCGAAGAACAGCACCGUCUUGCACGGCAUGAUGCUGCUCUCAAACUGCGCCGCCUGGUCCAGCGCGCGCGGAAAGCCGUCGAUGAGGAAGAACUUGCCGCCGCUGGCUAUCAUGUCCCGCUUCAGCAGGUUAAGCGUGACAGCCACCGGCACGAGCUUGCCCUCCUUCAUCAGCGCCUCGCACUUCUGGCCGACCUCGCUGCCGCUCUUCACCUCAGCGCGCAGCAGGUCGCCGGCGCUGAGGUGCACGCACUCGUAGUCGGCCUUAAUCUUGUCGCAUUGCGUCCCCUUGCCGCUGCCGGGGCCGCCGAGCACGAACACGAUCUGGGCGUCGGCAGGCAGGUUGCCGGGCACAGGUGGCAGCGCGAUGUCCUGCAUAAAAGCAACCAAGGGAACAAACGUGCAAUCAUAAGGUGUUGGCUGUGGCGCCGACCAUGACCCAGUGCCCUUGUACACAAAGCAAUGGGGCGUGCCGUACGCGCCGCACACACAGAACAGCGGUUUGGUGGCUGGAAACAUAAGAUGCGGCACGGUAUCCCUAUCUGCAGGUCGGCUUCUCAAGUGUUCAACUUAGGCAAGACGCACCUCCGAAGCAGCCGGGGCCGCUGCAAGUGCCGUCGCCGCUGCGCUCGCCUUCUUCGGCGCGUGCAAGCCCUCCAGCACCACCUUCACCUUGCCGUACACAUCGUCCGGAGCCGCCACAGCGCUGAUCACGUGGCACUUGCCCUGCGUAAGGUAGUGGUCCUUCACGGGCAGCGACUGAUCCAGGAAGGUGUGGAAGCGCUUGCGAAUGGUGUCGGCGUUGUCGUCGCUGCGGCCGCUGGUCUCCCCGCGCUUCAGCAGGCGCUUCUCCAUCUCCUCCUCCGGGCAGUCAAAGAACAGCACCGUCUUGCACGGCAUGAUGCUGCUCUCAAACUGCUCCGCCUGGUCCAGCGCGCGUGGAAAGCCGUCGAUGAGGAAGAACUUGCCGCCGCUGGCUAUCAUGUCCCGCUUCAGCAGGUUGAGCGUGACAGCCACCGGCACGAGCUUGCCCUCCUUCAUCAGCGCCUCGCACUUCUGGCCAACCUCGCUGCCGCUCUUCACCUCAGCGCGCAGCAGGUCGCCGGCGCUGAGGUGCACGCACUCAUACUCCUCCUUGAUCUGAUCGCAUUGCGUGCCCUUGCCGCUGCCGGGGCCGCCGAGCACGAACACGAUCUGGGCGUCGGCAGGCAGGCUGCCGGGCACGGGCGGCAGCGCAAACUCCUGCAUAGGGACGAAAAUGCAAUGGAAAUCAGCAAGCCGAGAUUAAUAAUCAGUGGAAACUUACGCAUCAGUACACUUGCACUUCAGUACGCAUCCUACUACCGGGAGGAUACGGUAAGGCAGGCAGGCAGAGGCCAUCGAUUUCACGCUUGCCCCAGCUUUCCGUACGAUGUACCGUAUGCUAGGUUGCUUGACCGGAACCCGUGCAAGACGCACACGGAUAUACCACCGGUGAACAGCCAUGACCGCUCACCUCCAAAGCAGCCGCAGCAGGAGUAGCCGAAACUGUCGCAGUCACGCCCGCCUUCUUCGGCGCGUGCAAGCCCUCCAGCACCACCUUCACCUUGCCGUACACAUCGUCCGGAGCCGCCACAGCGCUGAUCACGUGGCACUUGCCCUGCGUAAGGUAGUGGUCCUUCACAGGCAGCGACUGAUCCAGGAAGGUGCGGAAGCGCUUGCGAAUGGUGUCGGCGUUGUCGUCGCUGCGGCCGCUGGUCUCCCCGCGCUUCAGCAGGCGCUUCUCCAUCUCCUCCUCCGGGCAGUCGAAGAACAGCACCGUCUUGCACGGCAUGAUGCUGCUCUCAAACUGCGCCGCCUGGUCCAGCGCGCGCGGAAAGCCGUCGAUGAGGAAGAACUUGCCGCCGCUGGCUAUCAUGUCCCGCUUCAGCAG
rnacentral:lncRNA from 1 species